rnacentral:rRNA from 1 species
GACGAACGCUUGCGGCGUGCUUAACACAUGCAAGUCGAACGGAAAGGCCCUGCUUUUGUGGGGUGCUCGAGUGGCGAACGGGUGAGUAACACGUGAGUAACCUGCCCUUGACUUUGGGAUAACUUCAGGAAACUGGGGCUAAUACCGGAUAGGAGCUCCUGCUGCAUGGUGGGGGUUGGAAAGUUUCGGCGGUUGGGGAUGGACUCGCGGCUUAUCAGCUUGUUGGUGGGGUAGUGGCUUACCAAGGCUUUGACGGGUAGCCGGCCUGAGAGGGUGACCGGCCACAUUGGGACUGAGAUACGGCCCAGACUCCUACGGGAGGCAGCAGUGGGGAAUAUUGCACAAUGGGCGGAAGCCUGAUGCAGCAACGCCGCGUGCGGGAUGACGGCCUUCGGGUUGUAAACCGCUUUCGCCUGUGACGAAGCGUGAGUGACGGUAAUGGGUAAAGAAGCACCGGCUAACUACGUGCCAGCAGCCGCGGUGAUACGUAGGGUGCGAGCGUUGUCCGGAUUUAUUGGGCGUAAAGGGCUCGUAGGUGGUUGAUCGCGUCGGAAGUGUAAUCUUGGGGCUUAACCCUGAGCGUGCUUUCGAUACGGGUUGACUUGAGGAAGGUAGGGGAGAAUGGAAUUCCUGGUGGAGCGGUGGAAUGCGCAGAUAUCAGGAGGAACACCAGUGGCGAAGGCGGUUCUCUGGGCCUUUCCUGACGCUGAGGAGCGGAAGCGUGGGGAGCGAACAGGCUUAGAUACCCUGGUAGUCCACGCUGUAAACGGUGGGUACUAGGUGUGGGGUCCAUUCCACGGGUUCCGUGCCGUAGCUAACGCUUUAAGUACCCCGCCUGGGGAGUACGGCCGCAAGGCUAAAACUCAAAGGAAUUGACGGGGCCCCGCACAAGCGGCGGAGCAUGCGGAUUAAUUCGAUGCAACGCGUAGAACCUUACCUGGGUUUGACAUGGAUCGGGAGUGCUCAGAGAUGGGUGUGCCUCCUUUGGGGUCGGUUCACAGGUGGUGCAUGGCUGUCGUCAGCUCGUGUCGUGAGAUGUUGGGUUAAGUCCCGCAACGAGCGCAACCCUUGUUCACUGUUGCCAGCACGUUAUGGUGGGGACUCAGUGGAGACCGCCGGGGUCAACUCGGAGGAAGGUGGGGAUGACGUCAAGUCAUCAUGCCCCUUAUGUCCAGGGCUUCACGCAUGCUACAAUGGCUGGUACAGAGAGUGGCGAGCCUGUGAGGGUGAGCGAAUCUCGGAAAGCCGGUCUCAGUUCGGAUUGGGGUCUGCAACUCGACCUCAUGAAGUCGGAGUCGCUAGUAAUCGCAGAUCAGCAACGCUGCGGUGAAUACGUUCCCGGG